UACGUAGGGGGCAAGCGUUGUCCGGAAUCAUUGGGCGUAAAGAGCGUGUAGGCGGCUCGAUAAGUCCGCUCUGAAAGCCCGGGGCUCAACCCCGGGGAGGCGGGCGGAUACUGUCGGGCUAGAGUCCGGAAGAGGCGAGUGGAAUCCUGGUGUAGCGGUGAAAUGCGCAGAUAUCAGGAGGAACACCAAUGGCGAAGGCAGCUCGCUGGGACGGUACUGCGCUGAGACGCGAAAGCGUGGGGAGCAAACAGG
rnacentral:rRNA from 1 species